AGCAGCCGCGGUAAUUCCAGCUCCAAUAGCGUAUAUUAAAGUUGUUGCAGUUAAAAAGCUCGUAGUUGAAUUUCGGGAUCAGUUGGUCGGUCGUGCCUCGGUACGUACUGGUCAAAUUGAUUCCUACCUUCUGACGAACCACGAUGUCAUUAAUUUGGUGUCGCGGGAAAUCAGGACUGUUACUUUGAAAAAUUAGAGUGUUUAAAGCAGGCUCGCGCUUGAAUACAUUAGCAUGGAAUAAUGAAAUAGGACGUUUGAUUCUAUUUUGUUGGUUUCUAGGAUCGACGUAAUGAUUAAUAGGGAUAGUUGGGGGCAUUAGUAUUCAAUUGUCAGAGGUGAAAUUCUUGGAUUUAUUGAAGACUAACUACUGCGAAAGCAUUUGCCAAGGAUGUCUUCAUUAAUCAAGAACGAAAGUUAGGGGAUCGAAGACGAUCAGAUACCGUCGUAGUCUUAACC
rnacentral:rRNA from 1 species